CGAGUGCUUACAUUAUAUGUAAGCUUUUGCCAAGAGUUCACAUCUUGGAGAAUAAGUGGUGGGAAAGACCGGUGCCAGCAGCCGCGGUAACCCCGGCGCCACAAGUGGCAAUCUUAUAUUGGGCCUAAAGCAUUCGUAGCAGGUUUAAAAAAUCCUUUGUGAAAUCGUCGAACUCAAUACGACGGCGUGCAGGGGACACUUUUAGACUAGAGACUGGGAGGAGUUGGGGGUAUGCCUUGGGGAGCGGUUAAAUGUGAUAAUCCAAGGUAGACCACCUGUGGCGAAGGCGCCCAACUAGAACAGUUCUGACUGUGAGGGAUGAAAGCUAGGGGAGCGAUCCGGAUUAGAUACCCGAGUAGUCCUAGCCGUAAACACUGUGAGCUAGGUGUCGCAUAUUCUACGAGAAUAUGCGGUGUCGAAAAGAAGUUGAUAAGCUCACCGCCUGGGAAGUACGGUCGCAAGACUGAAACUUAAAGGAAUUGGCGGGGGAAUACACCAGGAGUGCGGCGUGCGGUUUAAUCUAACUCAACGCAGAACACCUUACUAGAAGCGACGGCAGGAUGAAGAUCAGUCUGAAGGGCUUAUCUGACGAGCCGAGAGGUAGUGCAUGGCCGCCGUCAGCUCGUGUCGUAAGAUGUCCUGUUAAGUCAGGCAACGAGCAAGACCUGCGCCUAUAAUUGCAAACAGGCCCUUCGGGGUGACUGUGCACAUUAUAGGGACUGCCUUCGUAAGAAGGAGGAAGGUGCAGGCAAUGGUAGGUCUGUAUGCUCCGAAUCUUCUAGGCUACACGCGCGCAACAGUGGUAAAGACAAUGGGAUGCAACUCCGUAAGGAGAAGCUAAUCCUCGAAACUUUAUCGUAGUUUAGAUUGUGGGUUGCAACUCACCCACAUGACAACGGAAUUCCUAGUAAUCAGACUUCAUCAUAGUCUGGUGAAUAUGCCCCUG
rnacentral:rRNA from 1 species